AUGCUAAGUCAAAGAUGGCGCAGAUGUUCAUUGUAUAUUGGGAACCCUCUGAACCAUAUGAGCCUAUCAUUGAGUAUUAUGGAGACAACAAAGCCAGCUGCAACUGCAUAUAUAAGGAAGUGGCACAAUAGAUUGUGGUCUAUGAGUCAAUUCUCAACUAUAUGCAAGGUAGACUAUGUAACCAACAACCUGGCUAAGAGCUUUAACAAUUGGAUUAAGCACCACAAGUCCUUGAACUUGGAUGGCCUCUUUGAUAAGGCGAGACAAUUGAUUAUGAUAUUGUGGAACCGAAGGAGAAAAGUAGCAAAGGAGUUAGAUGGUUUGAUUCUGCCCCACGUAAUUAAGAAGCUGAAUGCAAUGACCAGGGAAUUAAACUUGGAGGUGGUAGAAAGCUCCGAAGAAGUGGCUGAAGUAACUGCAUUAGGUGGUAGUGGCUUUAGGUUUGUGGUCAACUUGCAAGAGGGGACAUGUUCUUGUCGACAAUGGCAAGUUUCUGGCCAUCCUUGCAAACAUGCUCUUGCAUUCAUCACGUCACUUAGCAAUGCACACAUACGACACUAUGUGGACUUGUAUUUCUCCAUUGACAAAUAUAGAGCAGCUUAUGCCCAACUAAUUCCAGCUAUGCCAGACAAGACCCAAUGGCCUAAAUCUGACCAUGGAUUCUUCAUGCAUCCACCACUAUUGAAGGCCACGGCUGGUAGGCGUAAAACUGAGAGGUACAAAGGUUGCAGUGAGAAGAAAAGGAAAAGUGGUCAACACUUAUGUCCUAUUUGUAAGGAAUAUGGGCAUCAUUGGCACAAAUGUAAGAAGGGAAAUCCAGAGGACAUUGCUGCAAUGAUGGUUGUGAGAGAACCACCAAAGAAAAGGACAAAGACAACCAAAACAGCUGAGUUAUCCAUUGUGCCUUGUGAAGAUGGAGUACCAACAAGAAUGUGUCUUCCCCCAAGGUUCGUAAUUUUACACUUGUGCUCAUAA
rnacentral:rRNA from 1 species